UCGACGGGGAUGGUACAUGCGAGGGAGUAGUUUACUAUGACCAGACAAGUGCCAUCCUAGUGGCGGACGGGUGAGUAACGCGUGGGCAACCUGCCCUGUACAGGGGGAUAACACUUAGAAAUAGGUGCUAAUACCGCAUGAGCGCACAAAGGCGCAUGCCUAUGUGCGGGAAGCCCGCGAGGGCGGUACGGGAUGGGCCCGCGUCUGAUUAGCCAGUUGGCAGGGUAACGGCCUACCAAAGCGACGAUCAGUAGCCGGCCUGAGAGGGUGGACGGCCACAUUGGGACUGAGACACGGCCCAAACUCCUACGGGAGGCAGCAGUGGGGGAUAUUGCACAAUGGGGGAAACCCUGAUGCAGCGACGCCGCGUGAGUGAAGGAGCGUUUCGGCGCGUAAAGCUCUAUCAGCAGGGAAGACAAACUGCCCCGGAAGGGGCAGCCGGACGGUACCUGACCAAGAAGCCCCGGCUAACUACGUGCCAGCAGCCGCGGUAAUACGUAGGGGGCAAGCGUUAUCCGGAUUUACUGGGUGUAAAGGGAGCGUAGACGGCAAGACAAGCCUGGAGUGAAAGGCGGGGGCCCAACCCCCGGACUGCUCUGGGAACUGUCUGGCUGGAGUGCAGGAGGGGUAAGUGGAAUUCCUAGUGUAGCGGUGAAAUGCGUAGAUAUUAGGAGGAACACCAGUGGCGAAGGCGGCUUACUGGACUGUAACUGACGUUGAGGCUCGAAAGCGUGGGGAGCAAACAGGAUUAGAUACCCUGGUAGUCCACGCCGUANACGAUGACCACU
rnacentral:rRNA from 1 species